GAUGAAGAACGUAGCGAAAUGCGAUAAGUAAUGUGAAUUGCAGAAUUCAGUGAAUCAUCGAAUCUUUGAACGCACAUUGCGCCCGCCAGUAUUCUGGCGGGCAUGCCUGUUCGAGCGUCAUUUCAACCAUCAAGCCCUGCUUGCGUUGGGGUCCUGCGGCUGCCCGCAGGCCCUGAAAACCAGUGGCGGGCUCGCUAGUCACACCGAGCGCAGUAAUACAUCUCGCUUUGGGCGUGCGGCGGGUUCUUGCCGUUAAACACCCCCUUUUUACCAAGGUAGACCUCGGAUCAGGUAGGAAUACCCGCUGAACUUAAGCAUAUCAAUAAGCGGAGGA
rnacentral:misc_RNA from 1 species